rnacentral:snoRNA from 3 species
GUCCCAUGAUGAGGACGGGUGGUGACGUACUCCUGCAGCCUUUCCCAAGCUUCAGGAAUGGUUUCAUCCCUCGUCUGCUGAAAGAUGGAUAUUCUCCCACGAAGAGC